GAUGAACGCUGGCGGCGUGCUUAACACAUGCAAGUCGAACGGAAAGGCCCAAGCUUGCUUGGGUACUCGAGUGGCGAACGGGUGAGUAACACGUGGGUGAUCUGCCCUGCACUUCGGGAUAAGCCUGGGAAACUGGGUCUAAUACCGGAUAGGACCACAUUUUGGAGGGGGUGGUGGAAAGUUUUUCGGUGUGGGAUGAGCUCGCGGCCUAUCAGCUUGUUGGUGGGGUAAUGGCCUACCAAGGCGUCGACGGGUAGCCGGCCUGGGAGGGUGUACGGCCACAUUGGGACUGAGAUACGGCCCAGACUCCUACGGGAGGCAGCAGUGGGGAAUAUUGCACAAUGGGCGCAAGCCUGAUGCAGCGACGCCGCGUGGGGGAUGACGGCCUUCGGGUUGUAAACUCCUUUCGCUAGGGACGAAGCGUUAUGUGACGGUACCUGGAGAAGAGGCACCGGCUAACUACGUG
rnacentral:rRNA from 1 species